rnacentral:tRNA from 1 species
GGCUCCAUGGUCAAGCGGUCAAGACGCCACCCUCUCAAGGUGGAAUCAGGGGUUCGAUUCCCCUUGGAGCUACCA